ACUUGGUUUAUAGUUCAGUUGGCAGUGCAUGAGGCUCUUGAUGUCAGGGUUGUGGGUUCAAGUCUCACACUGGGCA